GACCUUGUAGCUCAGUUAGUAGAGCAUUGGACUGGUAACCAAAGGUCGCGGGUUCGAUUCCCACCGUGGUCA